CGAUGCUGGGGCGUGGGCGCGAGGCCCGGCGGCCCGCCCCCGCCCGGGAGGCGGUGGGUCCGGCGGCUCCGCCCGCCUGCACCGC
rnacentral:tRNA from 1 species